rnacentral:rRNA from 1 species
UACAGAGGGUGCAAGCGUUGUUCGGAAUUAUUGGGCGUAAAGCGCGUGUAGGCGGCUUUGCAAGUCGGGUGUGAAAGCCCUCAGCUCAACUGAGGAAGUGCGCCCGAAACUGCAGAGCUUGAGUGCCGGAGAGGGUGGCGGAAUUCCCCAAGUGGAGGUGAAAUGCGUAGAGAUGUGGAGGAACACCGAUGGCGAAGGCAGCCCCCUGGGUCAAAACUGACGCUCAUGCACGAAAGCGUGGGGAGCAAACAGG